rnacentral:rRNA from 1 species
UACGUAGGGUCCGAGCGUUGUCCGGAAUCAUUGGGCGUAAAGGGUACGUAGGCGGAUAAGCUAGUUAGAAGUGAAAUCCUAUAGCUCAACUAUAGUAAGCUUUUAAAACUGCUGAUCUUGAGGUAUGGAAGGGAAAGUGGAAUUCCUAGUGUAGCGGUGAAAUGCGCAGAUAUUAGGAGGAAUACCGGUGGCGAAGGCGACUUUCUGGACAUUUUCUGACGCUGAGGUACGAAAGCGUGGGGAGCAAACAGG